UCUUUUUACCUUCUAGAUCUUCCACCUGUAGAAGCCAGGUUUCAAAGGAGACAACUGCCUCUAGAAUCCUGAUGAUUUUGCCUUUUUUUGCUUCAUCCACCCUUUUCAAGAUUGUUGAGCUUCUUUUCCAACAUCUAAGUUUUGUUUUCUGCUGUUUAUUGGUAACUUUUGGCAACUGCAAUGGCUUCUUCAGAAAAAGACGUGAGCUCCUCAACUCUUUUGUCGCUUCUCCAGUGAUUGAUUUUGGUGGUUAUGGCAAAUCUUACAGCAAUGAGAGGUAUAAUGGGCUGCAGGUUGGAUGAGUUACAGUCAUCUGCAACAUGACAUACCAUAUCAGACUUCUUCCUUGUCAUUGCCUGUGUGCUGACACAGGACUGGUUUUGUUUCCAAAAGAAGAGUUUGCAGAACUGCACAGUGCCUGAUCCAAACAAACACUUUGAUGUUCCUAGUUGGACUACGUAGGUAAUAAACUCAAAAUAUGUGUGUUCA
rnacentral:lncRNA from 1 species